UGGGGAAUAUUGGACAAUGGGGGCAACCCUGAUCCAGCAAUGCCGCGUGUGUGAAGAAGGUCUUCGGAUUGUAAAGCACUUUCGACGGGGACGAUGAUGACGGUACCCGUAGAAGAAGCCCCGGCUAACUUCGUGCCAGCAGCCGCGGUAAUACGAAGGGGGCUAGCGUUGCUCGGAAUGACUGGGCGUAAAGGGCGUGUAGGCGGUUUACACAGUCAGAUGUGAAAUCCCCGGGCUUAACCUGGGAGCUGCAUUUGAUACGUGUAGAUUAGAGUGUGAGAGAGGGUUGUGGAAUUCCCAGUGUAGAGGUGAAAUUCGUAGAUAUUGGGAAGAACACCGGUGGCG
rnacentral:rRNA from 1 species